GCUGGCGGCGUGCCUAACACAUGCAAGUCGAACGGAGAUUUAACGCUGAUGAAGCUUCGGCAGAAUCUUGUUAAAUCUUAGUGGCGGACGGGUGAGUAACGCGUGGGCAACCUGCCUCGUACUGGGGGAUAACAGUUGGAAACGACUGUUAAUACCGCAUAAGCGCACGGUGUCGCAUGACACAGUGUGAAAAACUCCGGUGGUACGAGAUGGGCCCGCGUCAGAUUAGCUAGUUGGUGGGGUAACGGCUCACCAAGGCGACGAUCUGUAGCCGGACUGAGAGGUCGGACGGCCACAUUGGGACUGAGACACGGCCCAAACUCCUACGGGAGGCAGCAGUGGGGGAUAUUGCACAAUGGGCGAAAGCCUGAUGCAGCGACGCCGCGUGAGUGAAGAAGUAUUUCGGUAUGUAAAGCUCUAUCAGCAGGGAAGAAAGGCC
rnacentral:rRNA from 1 species